rnacentral:rRNA from 1 species
AUUGAACGCUGGCGGCAUGCCUUACACAUGCAAGUCGAACGGUAACAGGUCUUCGGAUGCUGACGAGUGGCGAACGGGUGAGUAAUACAUCGGAACGUGCCUAGUAGUGGGGGAUAACUACUCGAAAGAGUGGCUAAUACCGCAUGAGAUCUAAGGAUGAAAGCAGGGGAUCGCAAGACCUUGUGCUACUAGAGCGGCCGAUGGCAGAUUAGGAAGUUGGUGGGAUAAAAGCUUACCAAGCCGACGAUCUGUAGCUGGUCUGAGAGGACGAUCAGCCACACUGGGACUGAGACACGGCCCAGACUCCUACGGGGGGCAGCAGUGGGGAAUUUUGGACAAUGGGCGAAAGCCUGAUCCAGCAAUGCCGCGUGCAGGAUGAAGGCCCUCGGGUUGUAAACUGCUUUUGUACGGAACGAAAAGCCCCGGGUUAAUACCCUGGGGUCAUGACGGUACCGUAAGAAUAAGCACCGGCUAACUACGUGCCAGCCGCCGCCGUAA